GAUGAACGCUGGCGGCGUGCCUAAUACAUGCAAGUCGAGCGAACGGACGAGAAGCUUGCUUCUCUGAUGUUAGCGGCGGACGGGUGAGUAACACGUGGAUAACCUACCUAUAAGACUGGGAUAACUUCGGGAAACCGGAGCUAAUCCCGGAUAAUAUUUUGAACCGCAUGGUUCAAAAGUGAAAGACGGUCUUGCUGUCACUUAUAGAUGGAUCCGCGCUGCAUUAGCUAGUUGGUAAGGUAACGGCUUACCAAGGCAACGAUGCAUAGCCGACCUGAGAGGGUGAUCGGCCACACGGGAACUGAGCCACGGUCCAGAGUCCUGCGGGAGGCAGCAGUAGGGAAUCUUCCGCAAUGGGCGAGAGCCUGACGGAGCAACGCCGCGUGAGUGAUGAAGGUCUUCGGAUCGUAAAACUCUGUUAUGAGGGAAGAACAUAUGUGUAAGUAACUGUGCACAUCUUGACGGUACCUAAUCAGAAAGCCACGGCUAACUACGUG
rnacentral:rRNA from 1 species